rnacentral:rRNA from 1 species
GAUCAGCCACACUGGAACUGAGAUACGGUCCAGACUCCUACGGGAGGCAGCAGUGGGGAAUAUUGGACAAUGGGCGAAAGCCUGAUCCAGCCAUGCCGCAUGAGUGAAGAAGGCCUUUGGGUUGUAAAGCUCUUUCGGUGAGGAAGAUAAUGACGGUACUCACAGAAGAAGUCCUGGCUAACUCCGUGCCAGCAGCCGCGGUAAUACGGAGAGGGCUAGCGUUAUUCGGAAUUAUUGGGCGUAAAGAGCGCGUAGGCUGGUUAGUAAGUUAAAAGUGAAAUCCCAAAGCUCAACUUUGGAAUUGCUUUUAAAACUGCUAACCUAGAGAUUGAAAGAGGAUAGAGGAAUUCCUAGUGUAGAGGUGAAAUUCGUAAAUAUUAGGAGGAACACCAGUGGCGAAGGCGUCUAUCUGGUUCAAAUCUGACGCUGAGGCGCGAAGGCGUGGGGAGCAAACAGGAUUAGAUACCCUGGUAGUCCACGCUGUAAACGAUGAAUGUUAAAUAUGGGAAGUUUACUUUCUGUAUUACAGCUAACG